rnacentral:misc_RNA from 1 species
UUUGUCUGUCAGUCCGACCAAUCGAUCAGAUUAUGGAUGCAAAUACAGGACUAUUCAAGAUGAAGAAAUUUGUGUCAGACGCAUCUACAGUGUUCAAUAGGGCAGUUCAGUUCACUGAAGAGAAACUAGGGUCUGCAGAAAAGACAGAGCUUGAUGCUCACUUUGAGAAUCUCCUUCAGAGGGCUGAUAAAACCAAAGCAUGGACGGAGAAAAUCCUGAAACAGACCGAAAGUGUGUUACAACCCAACCCAAAUAUACGAAUGGAAGAUUUUGUAUACGAGAAGUUGGACAAAAAGAAGAGAGACCGGGUGAACCACCAUGAAGUCCUGGGGCAUGUGCUUGUGGAUGGGGGCAAUGACUUUGGUCCGGGCACAACUUAUGGUAAUGCCUUAGUAAAGUGUGGGCAGGCCCAGCUUAGGAUAGGAAAUGCCGAGAGGGAGUUCAUCCAGACCACAAGUAACAACUUCCUACAGCCACUCCAUAACUUCCUGGAGGGGGACAUGAAGACAAUACAGAAAGAGAAGAAAAUUUUGGAAACAAAGAGGUUGGAUUUGGAUGCGUCCAAGAACAGACUGCGUAAAGCCAAGUCGACAUCCCAGCCGCAGGCUGAAGCAGACCUACGCGUGGCCCAGGCCGAGUUUGACAGACAGGCUGAGAUUACCAAGCUACUUCUGGAGGGGGUCAGCAGUGCACAUGCCCAUCACCUUCGCUGUCUGAAUGACUUCAUCGAGGCCCAGUUAACCUAUUACGCUCAGUGCCAAAACUACAUCUCUGAACUGCAGCAACAAUUAGGAAGCUCAUAACAGUUUACAAAACCCCAGGUCUGGACCCUGAUUGGUUGAUGGCAGAAAGAGGCCCCCAAAAGGGAAAAGUUCCUACUACAUAUCUGGAAGUGUUAGAAUGAUAGUUGCUUUGACUGUAGUAUAAAGAACUUACGAUCUUUUUUAAUUUUUGUGAAUUUUUAAAUUUACUUUGAAUGUUGCAAUAUGUAAUUAUUAAAAACAGAGCUGUUGGCUAUAUCUGGUCAUCUGGAAUCUGAAGUAGACCAACCCGAUUAAUUUGUAAAUUGUUUGGGAUAUGUGUAUAGACGACAAUUUUAUCUGUACUGAGUAUAGACAGCAAUUUUAUCUGUAUAUUGUGUAAACACAACUUACUCUAUAUACCAGGUAUGUGAUAGAUUGUAUAUCUCACACCUGUACCACGAAAUCUUUGAAAUGAAAUGCUGCUUGACACUUGUAUGAAGAUUUUUUUGAAAAAUUAGUGUCAACAUUGUAGCCUUUUCCUGUUAUAGCGAGUGUAUAAGAUGUAAUUUUAUGAAACAAACUGUUUUGUUUGAUGUAUACACCUUCAAUGCAAACAUCGAUACUUUUGUUAUAAUGUUAUAAUGAACAUGUUCUUGCGCAGUAUUUAUUGCCUAACUCUAAUUAUUUUACUAUGUAAAUAUAAAAAAGUGACAGAAGCUAAUUUUCUUCCUUUUUUUACACGCACACACACAUUGGGUCACCGAUUUCUACUGCAUUAAGCUCUGUCCUGGUCAUCCAGGCUGUCACUUACUCUUACAAUAACUGUGCCCUACUCUUGUGAUGGAAGUUAUUUCUAUCAAGUACUAGAAACAACUAUGUUUGGUCACUUUUGUGGUUUUUCUGCAAUCCUUAGUUACAACAGACAACAGUAUUAUUGAGUUUUUAGGUGUUUUUUUUCCACAGUGCACGUUUAUUUUUGGUCAAGUCUUGUUUUUUUUUCCUGUAGGCUGAAUUAAAUUCAGUAAAAUCAGAAGUGGACUUAUGUAGUUACUAUUUGAAGAUAAAAUAUUUGUGGGUUUUUUUCACAGACAUUGACAUUUUAAUUGAUCUGGUGUAUGGGGCAUUUAUAUUCUAUGAAAUCAUUUAUAUUCUGUAAAACCUCAGCAAAACUGUACGAUGUUACCACUUAAUUGCAUCAUUGUCAAUGUUUUUUCCGACCUCCUUGUAAAAGAGAGAUGUGUCCUUUUAGAACAAUUGAUACAUGUGCUCAUUGUUCAUUUGAUUAUAGAAGUGGUUACUAGAAUUGACAAGUACCCUUACUAUGUGAUGAAUGUUGUACAGUAGGUUUGUGGUGCAAACAAAACGAGCACAACAGUGCUUCAAACCAUUCAUAAACUAUUCAUAUUCGUUGGAAAUAAAGUUUAUUGAUGCU